CUGCACCUGCGCUCCCUGCUGC
rnacentral:siRNA from 1 species